rnacentral:rRNA from 1 species
UACGUAGGGGGCAAGCGUUAUCCGGAUUUACUGGGUGUAAAUGGGGCGCAGACGGCGAUGCAAGCCAGGAGUGAAAGCCCGGGGCCCAACCCCGGGACUGCUCUUGGAACUGCGUGGCUGGAGUGCAGGAGGGGCAGGCGGAAUUCCUGGUGUAGCGGUGAAAUGCGUAGAUAUCAGGAGGAACACCGGUGGCGAAGGCGGCCUGCUGGACUGCAACUGACGUUGAGGCCCGAAAGCGUGGGGAGCAAACAGG